rnacentral:lncRNA from 1 species
GAGCAGGAGGAAGUGGGUGGGGAGCGCAGGCGUCUAGAGGAUUUGUAUUUUGCUGUUGCUGGGCAGGGCUCUGAGAAAAGAGGAAGGAGAGAAACAUGCAGCCCUCUGGCGUCAUUCCUGCCAUCACUGCGGCCACAGCUGGGCCAUGGCCCAAGCUCACCAGGAAGAAAGUGGUGUGUGUGCUCCUUUUGCGACCAGAGCCGAGGUCUCGGAGGAGCUCUGAUCUAACUCUACAGCGCAGGCCUCACUAGAAAGGGGGGGUGGGCUUUGCGGAAAUACCUAUAUUGAAUACUAAACAUCUGUAUGUCCUUUACCUAUGUAUGCAAUACUUUAUCUUAUAACUCUUUGGAUUCUUACAAGCCUGGAAGGCAAUUAAGUCAAGCUGCUAUUAGCAAGCCCAUUUUAUAGAGAGGAUAACUGGGAUUCGCAAAGGUAAAAUGAAUUAUCUAAGAGUCUCGACUUGUAAGGGUAGAGCUGGGAGGUGAACACGUGCGCUGACUUUGGGUUCUUUGGUACUUGCUCGCUUAUCACUUUUGCUUCUCUCUCCAGGGCUUCAGGCUUGGCAGUCCCAGUUCUGCAGGGGCAGAGCAGGUUGCCAGGCCUCCAGGCCGGCGCCCCUUCCGCCGGCGCCCCUUCCUCCAGCGCCCCGGCCAGGCUACACGACGCACUUUUGUGUCGCGGCUCCACUGACCUACUCCUAUAUCAUCGGGUGAAGAGAAGUAAAACAGCUCUUUGGAGAAAAACUCAAUUCUCUGACAACAGCUUAUUACACAUGUAUUCUCAUGGAAGGUUUUUGAACAAGAGACAACUCAAAAUAACAAUAAUGACGAUGAUGCACCAUGGCUGAUAUAUUUGGUGCAUCUUCCAAUUAAAUCACAUAGACAGUGUUUUCCCUGUUUCCUUUAAUGUCUGGUCUUGGAAAAGAAUCACAUAUCUACUUUGGGGUUCUGAAUAUGAGCAAAUAUACUUCCACAUGACUCCUCGAGGGCAGAAUCAACUUGUUUUAGGAGACACAGGUGAAUUCAUAUGAGAUCAAAUAUUUUUGCC